rnacentral:misc_RNA from 1 species
AUUUCUUAAGGCUCCCACCAUUCAUAUCUCCCUCUCUUACUCUCUUUCAAAUUUCCUGAUCACUCUCUCUAUCAACAUUUUCUUUCUUUCUCCGAUGGCUCCCAAUAACGGCGCUUUGCCUACUGGCUCCGGUUUGAUCGUCAGUUUCGGCGAGAUGUUGAUCGAUUUCGUCCCGACGGUUUCCGGCGUAUCUCUGGCUGAGGCGCCGGGAUUUCUUAAGGCUCCCGGCGGCGCUCCGGCGAACGUUGCGAUCGCUGUUAGCCGCCUCGGCGGUCGCGCUGCCUUCGUAGGAAAGCUCGGCGAAGAUGAAUUUGGCCGUAUGUUAGAAGGAAUAGUGAAGGAGAACGGUGUUGACGCCAGUGGGAUCCGCUUCGAUCAAGGGGCUAGAACCGCCUUGGCUUUCGUCACUCUACGCGCUGAUGGUGAGCGUGAGUUUAUGUUCUACCGGAACCCUAGCGCCGAUAUGCUUCUCAAGCCGGAGGAAUUGGAUCUCGAACUCAUCAGAUCCGCCAAAAUCUUUCACUAUGGAUCCAUAAGCUUGAUCGUGGAGCCCUGCAGAUCGGCACAUAUUAAGGCAAUGGAGGAAGCCAAGAAAGCAGGUGUUCUACUUUCAUACGAUCCCAAUUUGAGGCUGCCUCUGUGGCCCUCUGCAAAUGAGGCCCGUGAACAGAUCAAGAGCAUUUGGAACAAGGCCGACAUCAUCAAGGUCAGUGACGAGGAACUCAAAUUCCUCACCCAGAACGAAAAGGUCGAUGACGAAGCCGCCAUGUCUCUCUGGCACGAUGGCUUGAAGCUCCUCCUCGUCACUCUCGGUGAGCAGGGCUGCCGAUACUACACCAAGAACUUCCGCGGCUCCGUGGAUCCUUUCAAGGUUAAGGCUGUUGACACAA